rnacentral:pre_miRNA from 1 species
UGAGGUAGUUGGUUGUAUGGUUUAGAAUUGGAAUCAAUACUUGUUCCCGAACUGGUGCAGCCAAGGCCUAUCC